UCCUACGGGGGGCAGCAGUAGGGAAUCUUCCACAAUGGACGAAAGUCUGAUGGAGCAACGCCGCGUGAGUGAAGAAGGGUUUCGGCUCGUAAAGCUCUGUUGGUAGUGAAGAAAGAUAGAGGUAGUAACUGGCCUUUAUUUGACGGUAAUUUCUUAGAAAGUCACGGCUAACUACGUGCCAGGAGCCGCGGUAAUACGUAAGUGGCAAGCGUUGUCCCGAUUUAUUUGGCGUAAAGCGAGU
rnacentral:rRNA from 1 species